UUGACAGUUUUAAGAAUUGUUUAUCACCUUACUAAUUUACUUAUCUAAUCAGUUUCAAGACAGGUACAAAUGUACGUACGUACAUAAAUAUAUUAUAAUUUAGUAGAUAAUAUAAUUAGUUUAAAUUAAAAAUAUUGUUAGCCCCCACUGUUUUACAUUCGUUUGCAUAAAUACGCGCGUGGUUUAAAGCAAUUUUCAUCAGUAUCUGUACAAACAUUUCUACCAUCAACCAAAAUAUAAAGUAAAAUGAAGUUGUUCACUGCUUUGAUGAUUUUUGCACUUGUGGCUUGCGUUUGUAAUGCAACUUCACCUGCGCCAGUUGAAGAAUAUGUUGAACAUCCUGAAAAUGACGUAAUUGAAUCGGUCGAAAGCACUAUAUCAUCGCGUGCUGGUUGCACCGCCAGUUUCUGUUCCAACUUAUGCGCACGGUUGGGUUUCCGUUGGUACAGAUGUUUGAAUGCUAAUGUUUGCCAAUGUCUGCGAUAGACAAUUGGUGAACUAAACAGGCGGUCCUUUAAAUAUAAUGAUUCGAUUUUCUACGUUUUAUUUGUAAUCUCGUUACAUAUUAUUGCAAAUUUUAAAAUGUUAUUUUUCUGUUUAUAUCAUUCUUAUUAUAAGCAUUGAAACAA